UACGAAGGGGGCUAGCGUUGCUCGGAAUCACUGGGCGUAAAGCGCACGUAGGCGGAUUGCUAAGUCAGGGGUGAAAUCCUGGAGCUCAACUCCAGAACUGCCUUUGAUACUGAAGAUCUUGAGUUCGGGAGAGGUGAGUGGAACUGCGAGUGUAGAGGUGAAAAUUCGUAGAUAUUCGCAAGAACACCAGUGGCGAAGGCGGCUCACUGGCCCGAUACUGACGCUGAGGCACGAAAGCGUGGGGAGCAAACA
rnacentral:rRNA from 1 species